AUGGCCGAGGCGGCGGCGAGCACAAGGAAACUGUACGGCUACGAGCUGUCGUCCAACUCGGUGCGCAUCGCGGCGCUGCUCAACGAGAAGGGGCUCGACUACGAGCUCGUCGUCGUCGACGACACCAAGGCGCCGGAGUUCCUCGCCAUCAACCCCUUGGGUCAGGUCCCGGCGUUCCAGGACGGCGACGACAUCCUCUUCGAGUCUCGCGCCAUAAGUAGGUACAUCGCGGCCAAGUACCGGUCAACGGGCACGGACCUGCUGCCGGCGGCGCCGUCGGCGAAGCUGGAGGUGUGGCUAGAGGUGGAGUCGCACCACUUCUACCCGGCCGUGGCGGACCUGGUGUACGAGCUCCGCGUCAGGCCCCGGCUGCCGGGCGGCGCGCCGCCCGACCCGGCCGUCGUGGACGGGCUCGCCCGCAAGGUGGCCGACGUGCUCGACGUCUACGACGCGCACCUCGGCGCGGGGAACAGGUACCUCGCCGGCGAUCAGUUCACGCUCGCCGACGUGAACCACAUGGCGCAGCUGUUCGUCAUGAGCCUGACGCCCCGGGCGGCGGAGCUGGUCGCGGCCAGGCCGCACGUGCAGGCGUGGUGGGACGAGAUAUCCGCCCGCCCCGCCUGGAAGAAGACCGUCGCCGCGCUCCCGCUCCCGCCGGCUUGA
rnacentral:rRNA from 1 species